CUGUAAUUUUGCCUGCAGAUCGGUGACUUUUUGAUAUGUAUAGCACUGUGGACGGCAGUGCAUUUUGUCAUAUGGACAUACAAUUAUGAACCUAUCAUCGUCCGGUCUAAACGAGUUAUCGAAAGUAAUCAAAAUGUAAUAUUAAUUUUGAAAGUGUAAAGGUGUAAAUAUUAGAAAAUUUGAAUUUAUACACUUUUUUGGCAAAAGAGAGACAUAAGCACUGUAAGUAUAUGUAUGUGUAUCCUAUGUACAUUUGUAUAUCCGCAGACGAAAUACGUAUGUUUGUACUUGUGGCGGCUACAGACACAUUGAAAAAGACCGCACGAUUGCAAAUGGUUAACUCGCAAAGACAACGCUCCGAUAGAGACUGAAUCGAGCGGAGCAGAGCUGUAAACGUGUCUUAGACUAAACGUGGUCGAGAGAACUGAGAUACAGUUGGAGACAGAGAGAUCCGUUUAAAGCCAUGAGCAAGGCGAACAAAGAAACAGGUUAGACAUGCAGACAUGUUUCAAGACAUCGGGAAUCUAAGAAGUAUGUCGGCUAGAGAAGGGCGCAAGGAAAAUGGCAAAUACCGUCUGAGUACUAUUUACUAUUAUGAGUACUAUUUAAGCAAAAAAAUCGCUGGCAGAUACCCGCUUACUCAGCUAGAGGAAGUGCGGACGAGAAAUUUAAACAUUUUCUGGAAUAUCGAUAGAAAUUGGGAAACAGAAUAAUAAAAUGAAAAUAAACGUA